rnacentral:rRNA from 1 species
AUGGCUCAGAUUGAACGCUGGCGGCAGGCCUAACACAUGCAAGUCGAGCGGUAACACAGAGAGCUUGCUCUCGGGUGACGAGCGGCGGACGGGUGAGUAAUGUCUGGGAAACUGCCUGAUGGAGGGGGAUAACUACUGGAAACGGUAGCUAAUACCGCAUAACGUCGCAAGACCAAAGUGGGGGACCUUCGGGCCUCAUGCCAUCAGAUGUGCCCAGAUGGGAUUAGCUAGUAGGUGGGGUAAUGGCUCACCUAGGCGACGAUCCCUAGCUGGUCUGAGAGGAUGACCAGCCACACUGGAACUGAGACACGGUCCAGACUCCUACGGGAGGCAGCAGUGGGGAAUAUUGCACAAUGGGCGCAAGCCUGAUGCAGCCAUGCCGCGUGUAUGAAGAAGGCCUUCGGGUUGUAAAGUACUUUCAGCGAGGAGGAAGGCGUUAAGGUUAAUAACCUUGGCGAUUGACGUUACUCGCAGAAGAAGCACCGGCUAACUCCGUGCCAGCAGCCGCGGUAAUACGGAGGGUGCAAGCGUUAAUCGGAAUUACUGGGCGUAAAGCGCACGCAGGCGGUCUGUCAAGUCGGAUGUGAAAUCCCCGGGCUCAACCUGGGAACUGCAUUCGAAACUGGCAGGCUAGAGUCUUGUAGAGGGGGGUAGAAUUCCAGGUGUAGCGGUGAAAUGCGUAGAGAUCUGGAGGAAUACCGGUGGCGAAGGCGGCCCCCUGGACAAAGACUGACGCUCAGGUGCGAAAGCGUGGGGAGCAAACAGGAUUAGAUACCCUGGUAGUCCACGCCGUAAACGAUGUCGACUUGGAGGUUGUGCCCUUGAGGCGUGGCUUCCGGAGCUAACGCGUUAAGUCGACCGCCUGGGGAGUACGGCCGCAAGGUUAAAACUCAAAUGAAUUGACGGGGGCCCGCACAAGCGGUGGAGCAUGUGGUUUAAUUCGAUGCAACGCGAAGAACCUUACCUACUCUUGACAUCCAGAGAACUUAGCAGAGAUGCUUUGGUGCCUUCGGGAACUCUGAGACAGGUGCUGCAUGGCUGUCGUCAGCUCGUGUUGUGAAAUGUUGGGUUAAGUCCCGCAACGAGCGCAACCCUUAUCCUUUGUUGCCAGCGGUCCGGCCGGGAACUCAAAGGAGACUGCCAGUGAUAAACUGGAGGAAGGUGGGGAUGACGUCAAGUCAUCAUGGCCCUUACGAGUAGGGCUACACACGUGCUACAAUGGCAUAUACAAAGAGAAGCGACCUCGCGAGAGCAAGCGGACCUCAUAAAGUAUGUCGUAGUCCGGAUUGGAGUCUGCAACUCGACUCCAUGAAGUCGGAAUCGCUAGUAAUCGUAGAUCAGAAUGCUACGGUGAAUACGUUCCCGGGCCUUGUACACACCGCCCGUCACACCAUGGGAGUGGGUUGCAAAAGAAGUAGGUAGCUUAACCUUCGGG